AUACGUAGGGGGCAAGCGUUAUCCGGAUUUACUGGGUGUAAAGGGCGUGUAGGCGGUCUUGCAAGUCAGAAGUGAAAUUCCUGAGCUCAACUCGGGCGCUGCUUCUGAAACUGCAGGACUUGAGUGCUGGAGGGGAUAGCGGAAUUCCUAGUGGAGCGGUAAAAUGCGCAGAUAUUAGGAAGAACACCGGUGGCGAAGGCGGCUAUCUGGGCUUUUACUGACGCUGAGGCUCGAAAGCGUGGGGAGCAAACAGGAUUAGAUACCCUGGUAGUCCACGCUGUAAACGAUGGGCGCUCGUCGUCGGCGACAGACAGUCGGCGGCCAAGCGAAAGCGAUAAGCGCCCCACCUGGGGAGUACGGUCGCAAGGCUGAAACUCAAAUGAAUUGACGGGG
rnacentral:rRNA from 1 species